rnacentral:miRNA from 1 species
UAGGGUGAACAACCAGCCUGGGUUGCCUGGGACUGAGAGCGAUCAGACCCAUCCGUGGGACUUUCAGGGCUAAAGCUGGUGA